GGGUUUAAUCCUAGUAGGAAUAUCUAACCGAUAAUUAGAUCUCAGAGGUUAAAUUCCUCUUAAACCCU
rnacentral:tRNA from 1 species